rnacentral:rRNA from 1 species
ACGCUAGCGAGAUGCUUUACACAUGCAAGUCGUACGGGAGUUUUUAACUCUAGUGGCGGACGGGUGAGUAACACGUAAGAAUUUGCCUUUAGGAGGGGGAUAACAUCGUCAGAAAUGAUUCGAGAAAUUGAUGCUAAUACCCCAUAUGCUUUCGAGUGAAAUGGAGUUUUCCGCCUAAAGAGAAGCUUGCGGCUGAUUAGCUUGUUGGUGAGGUAAUGGCUUACCAAGGCGACGAUCAGUAUCUGGUUUGAGAGGAUGAUCAGACACACUGGAACUGAGACACGGUCCAGACUCCUACGGGAGGCAGCAGUGGGGAAUUUUCCGCAAUGGGCGAAAGCCUGACGGAGCAAUCUCGCGUGAGGGAUGACUGCCUAUGGGUUGUAAACCUCUUUUUUCAGGGAGGAAUAAAUGACGUUACCUGAAGAAUAAGCAUCGGCUAA